rnacentral:tRNA from 1 species
GGGCAUAGCUCAGUGGUAGAGCGUCUCGUUGCCAACGAGAAGGUCGUGGGUUCGAGUCCCAUUGCCC